UCUUAUCAGAAAGUUGGGUGCUAGGGUAGCAGGCAGGUGGCAAGUCUCAUUCUGCCUUAUUGGCUUCUACAGUGUUUAACUGGUAUAUCUGCAAAAAUCUCAGAGUCUUGCUGAUUGGCUCACAGACAUACUUUUUCUCUUCCAACAUAAUAUUAGGAGCAGAGGUUUUAUCAUGUCCUCUGCUGCUUACUCAGUUUACAUGUAGUCAGAAGCAACAUUAAUUCCAUUUUAAGGGAGCUGUUUGACAGAGGACAUUCUCAACUGGAUAAAAAGUUGGUGAUCUAUUUGUGAUCAACACCUAUCUUUUUUGAGCAGUUUCAUAACACAUAAGCUAUAUUUACCUUUGAAUUAUACUUAAACCCAACAUAUUUUGUACUUUUUUUGUUUUUCUUUUUUUUUCUUAUUGGUUGUUAAUAUUUUGUACUUUUUAGAUUGGUAAUGUAGUCAAAUAGUUCAGUCAUAAAAUGGAAUGAAAUAUCUGUUGUUCAUCUUGUCUUCAUCCUUCCCUUUCCUUCCCUUCCUUACCCUUCCUCAACAAUUCAGUCCUAAAAUCAGCAGAUUUUAGGAAGGAGGAUGGAUGUCAUUAUCAAAAGAGGGGAGAGAGAUGUUUACCUCACAGGGUGAGAAAGGCAUUCAUACUGGGAAAAUGGCUUAUUGUAGGGAGUCAGAGCCUAAGAAUUAUAAUGAGGGCUUUCCAGGUAGGGAAUAGCCAAGUGAAGGAAACUGGAAUUCUAUCUGAUUGAAGAGGGCGUUCACCUGGACGUAGUACAUGGCACACUGGAGCAGGAUUUAAGACUCUGUAUGUGUACAGAUUGAGUAUACUUUAUCCAUGAUGUUUGGGACCAGAAGUGUUUUUAAUUUAAGAAUGAAAAUCUCCCACCAGUGGCAUAUGAUAUUUCUGUUUACUGACAUACAAAUAAGCACAGAAUCUUCUCAGUCAUUUUAACCUUUUCUAAUAGGUUAAGGAAGGGUUUCUUUUUUUCUCGCUAUUCUUUUGUUUUUUAUAUUUCUUCCAUUGCUAGUUUCCAUUUUUUUAUUAUUCCUUGAUGUUUCCCUUGCUAUGAAUUUGCUAUUCUUAAUCUUUAUCCAUUUUAUUAUUUAAUUGUGAGUUAUUCAAAUGUUAGGAAUAUUAACCUGAAUCUGUAAUAUAUGUUAUAAAUAUUGUAUUUUAUAUGUUUUAAUGUCAUUAAGAUAUUGUUUCACUUAAAGCAUUUGUAAUAUUCCAUAAGGAAUUUUCUGAUUGCAAAAAUAACACAUGGUUAUAGCAAAAAGAAAGAAAAAGAAAUUAUAAGCACACAAAUAGUGAAUAAUGUUUCAAAACUGCAGUGUGGUGGCAUCUUUUCCUUUUCUUUUUUCCAAUUUAUAAAUAUUUUAUUGACAUCUUCC
rnacentral:lncRNA from 1 species